rnacentral:rRNA from 1 species
CCUACGGGAGGCAGCAGUGAGGAAUAUUGGUCAAUGGACGCAAGUCUGAACCAGCCAUGCCGCGUGCAGGAAGAAGGCCCUAUGAGUUGUAAACUGCUUUUGUACGAGGGUAAACGCAGAUACGCGUAUCUGUCUGAAGGUAUCGUACGAAUAAGGACCGGCUAACUCCGUGCCAGCAGCCGCGGUAAUACGGAGGAUUCAAGCGUUAUCCGGAUUUAUUGGGUUUAAAGGGUGCGUAGGCGGUCGGUUAAGUUAGAGGUGAAAUCCCGAGGCUCAACUUCGGAACGGCCUCUGAUACUGGUCGGCUAGAGAGUAGUUGCGGUAGGCGGAAUGUAUGGUGUAGCGGUGAAAUGCUUAGAGAUCAGACAGAACACCGAUUGCGAAGGCAGCUUACCGGGCUGCUUCUGACGUUGAGGCACGAAAGCGUGGGGAGCAAACAGGAUUAGAUACCCGGGUAGUC